rnacentral:lncRNA from 1 species
GGGUGGAGUGCCCUCUAUAGCAUUUGGUUUAAAUGCCCAUCAUUUAUCCAUAAACCUCAGUUUUACCACAUGUGGCAAAAGUGCAUAUUCUCUGGUUUUAUGUAAGACUGUUUUACCUGUAUCUUAAUUUACUAAACAUUUUAAUACACCACAAUGUUUGAGACACGUGAGGAACUGGACUUUAAUAAUGGAACAACAACAAAUAAUGGAACCUAAUAAUAAACAUGGUUGCAAUAUCUAAAUGGUAAAACCAAAACUUAUAAAUAGGGAAUGUGCACAGCAAAAAUUCCCAGAAAGGAUUCAUCUUGAGAAGCUACAGGUGCUCUAACUAUCUGUUCUGUUGCACUAAAAUUAACAUUUUGUUUCCCCUAAUAAAACAGUUUUUCCAUAAAGGUAGAAGAUGAACUGGAUCCUUCUUUUCAGUCUGACCUGUUCUCUCUAUGGGGUGUUUGCUGUUCAAAUGUCUCCAACUGUUUAUGAGACAAAGGAGAACAACAACAUCAUCAUCCAACGAGAAAAGGAAUUUAUUUUUCUGGCUGCAUUCAUAGGAACUCUGGCUGCAACAGUUGUUGCAGCCCUUGUAAAAUUACUUUGGGACGACCUACAACAGAAUGGUAUUUUUGCUAAGUUGAUUUUAUUGUUUGUAUUUCAGUGCGUUGGUAUUUUAUCUGUACUUAUUUCUACUUUAUGUCAAAUAUGCAGAUUAAAAACAGAAGGAAGUUCUAGUGCUGAGUCCCUGAUUGUUCACCAAAGAAAUGAAGUUGACCCCCCUUACUGCUCCAAUCGUCAAUGUACACGACAUAAAUUAUGGGAAGCUGGUAUGACUUAUCCUGACUGACUGGCACUGUACACUUCUCAUUGUCACUAAACCUCUUUUACCCGUUACCAAAUACAGUAACAUUAGAGGCUGGAAAUCAGAACCUUUUAGUUUCUGCAAGUAAAUUCUCACUUCAGUAUUUUUAGCAAAGCUACAACUAAUCACAGACAUGUUAUUGCUAUUUGUAUUAUUCUGUGUUGGUGGUGUGAAGCUAAAUAUAUCUUAUUUCCUUUAUUGCAUUCAUCAUACUACUAUUCAUUCAUCACCAUAUACACAUCAGUAUAUAUUUUUUUCCUGCUAGAUCCACAUAUUUUUAGUCUGUGACAUUUUCAUCUUUCAGCUUUUGGCUCUACAGUAUAUAGCACCUCAAUAGAUUGAAUAUAUUAUAUCAAACAAUCAAGAAGCUUUUAUCUUUUUUUAUAUAUAUAGAGGAUUAAAACAAACUACUUACCCAGAAGCUUCCUCAAUCUGGUCAAAACAAAAUAAAUCUAAACGAAAACAAAAAUGUCUACUAGUCAGCCACAACAAUACCACCACCUGGUGGUUUUAAACUGUGGUAGACAGAGGGCAGCAGGGGCAGUACGUGCCAGUUUUAUGUGAUUAUGAUCUUAUACAAAUUUUGAUUAUGACCAGCAGCAUUCAUAUGUUUUCCAUGCUGACCCAUUUCAACUGGGUGAUUAUUGUGUAUUAUUUAUAUUGUAUAUAUGAGGUGUAAACUAUAAACUAUGAACUAUUUUGGCCCUUAAAAUCUGAAACAUUUUUUAUCCACUAGCCAAAUAAUAGGAAAAUAAUAAUAAUAACCUAAUCUUAAAAGUGGAAAAAACACUGUUAUAGUAUUUUUCAGUGUAUCUUGUCUGUGCAAUCUAUUUAUUUGCAUCAUCAUCAUCAGCACUUUCUAACUUUUAAAUUUUCAAUCCUUGUGAACAAACGCAGAACCUCGUUAUUUUCAAUUAUGCACAUUCAUUGUGUGAUUACAGUGACUAACUGUUUUAUCUCAUUUACUUGUGUGUGUGUUUACAAGACUUUAUAAUAAACUAAAUUAAUGAAUUAAAAAUAAAUUCCUGUUGAGAUAAAAAAAAUUAUCUUGUGCAUUUAGACACUUUCUGCUGAGUGUUUACAGUACUACAUGAUAUAUAUGGUGUCUACAUGUCUGCAACUUGUGCAUACUUAGAAACAAACAAUCAUUUUAAUGAACAAACAAAAGCAGCAGUUCUUUCUGAUACAGUCCAACAAACUUGAUGAUCUAAAUGAGCAAACAGCUGAUUCCUGCUGAGAAGUGCAGUUUUACAGUUUUUAUAUCAAAUAAUAUUUCUACCUUGUUUAGGUUGUAAAACCUACUGAUGGGCAUUGUUACAAUGCACAAAGUACACACACAUUUAUUUAAGCAAGCACUACGUCGUGUGACCUGUACUAUCUUUCAUCAUAUAAUGAAAGAAUAAAAAUAAACUGAAUUAAUGUAAUUUAACUUUAAAGCUCCAUGUGUGUAGUUCACAAUCUCAGAAAAAACAUUUAUACUUUUUUUAUGACACCUAACAAUAAACAAACUUGUGCUGCAGCAGAUUAUGUGAAUCUACUCUACAAAAAUCUUCAAUAUAAAAACAUUUAAACAAGUUUCACUCAACUGUAGUGCGUCAUUGCAUAAAGAAAUUACAAUGAAAAAGUAUGAAAGCAAGAAAAAGUAUGAAAAAGAUGCAUGUGAACCAACAUCAUUCCUGAGUGUUCGAGUGGUCCAAUCAGAGUAAAGACGUAAUCUCAACACACUUGAUGUCUUAAGAAUAUGUGCAAGCUGAAGCAGGCCUUCAAGAAACAUUAUGGAGGUCUAAUCUUUAUGAAGAUCAAAUCACAUUUCAUGAACAAUUUCUUGCAGAAAACGAAAAAUUGCAUUGCAGUGCAUUGUAUUCACUUACUUUUUCUUGCCAUUGUAUUACAUAGAGCCAUUUUUCUUUUUUUUCCUUUUUGUUUUUUUUAAACCAUAGGUUAUCAAUAUAUGUUUUACAGUUUGAGGUAGACUCCUGUUAUCGUAUCAGUAAAGUGAAUUUAGCAUGUUUCACAUCUAAUAUACAUAAAUAUAAAACUGUUUCCUCCAUUAGGACGUUUUGUGUGUGUCAGCUGUUGAACUCUGGCUCCUAAAUCAUGAUUAUGAUUAUGUUUCCUUGACAUGAUUAAGUAUGUCGAGGAAACAUGUGUUUAAAUAAUUAUUAAAUGUAUUUUGUAAAAAUAAAAUAAAAAAGUAAUUUCUGUGACCUGUGAAGUUAUUGGUACAAUGGAGAAUUUUUGGCAACAUCUUCUCUUUGACAUUAUUAAGCACAUUGCUUCCAUCUAUCCAUCUGCUGAGCAGUACGUUCUCACAAACUACUGGAGUCUGAAGAUAGUAAGUAUGGAGUAAAUGCACAAAACGUAACAGACAACCAGUGCAACUACAGCCAUUAGUCCUACUCCACAGUAAAUGCCAAUUAUUACCCAAUGUGUUGUGUUGACUUCAGGUUUUGUCUCAGGUUCAGACCAAUGUCUUGUCGCUGUAAAGACACCAAACAAAUCUGUUAUUUAUGUGAAAAAUAGAAAAAUUUAAACAACAACAACAACAACAACAAAAAGAAAAACAUAAAAAGCUAAAUUUUCUAGGUAGGAAAGAGAAAAUCUUCAACCUUUUUCUUCUCAGAUUCUUAUUUAGACAAAUCGUUGCUGAAGUAAAGUUCAACUUAAUCAGUUCCCUUUAUACUGGUAGCGAUGCAUGAACUUGGCCUUGUACUUGAGGAAUAUUGGUCUAAUGCUCGUGGCUUCCAGUUACCAUUAUUCAUGGUCAUGCAUCCUGCAACUGUCUUCUUCAAAGCCCACUUAAGAUUUUCUAGUGACGGCCACACUAGAUUCUCACAGGACUUCUUCUGCAACCCAGUCUUGGUCGACUUUUUGAUUGAUCUAGUUGUCCAAUGACAUCCAGGCUUCAGCUUCAUCACAGACCACACCCAGGAUGUCCUGAUACUUGAAUGAAUCUGUCAUGCCUUCCACAUGCUGCAGGUUUCCAGUGCCAGAGGAAGCAUAGGAGCCCCAGAGCAUCACCAAGCUGCCACCACGUUUCACUCCAGGAAAGGUGUUCCUUCAACUUAUGUUUUGUUCUUCUUCCUCCAGGCAAACUAAUUCACUAAUUCACUGGUCUGAAAUGUUCCACAGAAUUCCACAGAACAAAAUCCCCAAUCUCUGCCUGGGUUAUAUGAGUUGGAGAUUUGUACAUGAUUUUUGGGGGGAGAGUAUUUUCUAGACUUUGCCACAAGUUGGUAAAAGCUAAAUUUUUGGUUGAAUUUGGAGGAACUAUUUAAAACUUGCUUUCUGUUAUUUAAAUAUUUAAGUUGUUCUUGUUUUCUUUGUUUAUUGCAAACAGCUGAAAGUUAAUCAAUUUCAUCAAUAUACUUAAUUUAAAAUAGUGGUUGAAUAGAGCCAUUGCAUCUAUGCAGGGGAGCUCCUGCACUACAUGAUGUAGUAGUCACAUAGCCGAUUGAUGAAUGAGAUUUUCAUCAUCUUAUAUAUUAUUUGAUAAAUAUAACAAACAAGACAUAUUUACUGUUACUGUUAUUUUGACAUAUUAGAUAAUAAGAUAACUUCUAGCCUGUACAAUGUGAUUCCUUAGUGCUUCUAAGUAAUUUACCAGUGAUGUUGAGUCGACAUCUGCCAGAGCUCCAACCACAAUUUGUUCCCACUUUACAAAGGUACAGUCCCGAGUCAUUAGUCCUGAGUCUGGACAGUCGGAGUCUGAUUCGUCCUUCUCUGAGGACGUCUUUGUCAAACUGGACUCUUCCUGAAAACUGUUCAUCCUGAGACUCUGAGACCUCAACACCAUUACGUAGAUGAAACAGCCCCACAGGUUUAAGAUCAGUUAUCAGUUCACAGUAGAUAAUAUGAAAGGUGAUGGCUCUGUCAGGUCUGAUAUUGAACGUCCACUCCAGUGUGAUGUUGUGGUUCUCCUCUGCCUGAUAGGAGGUCUGUGUCACAUUCACUACAAAUGUUCCUGUUGAGGAGACACAGAGAGAAAAUGAAAGAAUAAGUGACACUUUAUCUGUAGAGUUAUGUGUCCUGUACAGUUUUCAAAAGGUAAUGCAAUACUAAUAAUAACUACAAUUCAAGGACAAACAGAACAUAAAGAAUCUCCCUGAUAAAAGUCCUUCAAUGUAUUACUAAGACCGAAGAUGUGAACUAACCAGAGACACAUGGGUUCAGGUUAAUGAGCAGCAGGAUCCUGAAGAUCAUCUUCUCCCUGUGAGAGGAGACAGAGGUGAAGAGUCACAAACAUCAGAUCAAAGAGAAAUGGAAUCAGACAGAUCAGAGGAAAAGAAGAAAAACAGAGAGGAAACUGAAUCAAUCAAUCAUCAUCUUAAU